rnacentral:rRNA from 1 species
CCUACGGGAGGCAGCAGUGGGGAAUAUUGCACAAUGGGGGGAACCCUGAUGCAGCGACGCCGCGUGAGUGAAGAAGUAUUUCGGUAUGUAAAGUCCUAUCAGCAGGGAAGAUAAUGACGGUAUCUGACUAAUAAGCCCCGGCUAACUCCGUGCCAGCAGCCGCGGUAAUACGUAGGGGGCAAGCGUUACCCGGAAUUACUGGGUGUAAAGGGAGCGCAGACGGGUGUGCAAGUCUGAAGUGAAAGGCGGGGGCCUAACCCCCGGACUGCAUUUGAAACUGUAAAGCUGGAGUGCAGGAGAGGUAAGCGGAAUUCCUGGUGUAGCGGUAAAAUGCGUAGAGAUUAGGAGGAAUACCAGUGGCGAAGGCGGCUUACUAGACUGCAACUGACGUUGAGGCUCGAAAGCGUGGGGAGCAAACAGGAUUAGAUACCCGUGUAGUC